rnacentral:rRNA from 1 species
CCCUUAGAUGUCCUGGGCCGCACGCGCGCUACACUGAACGGAUCAGCGCGUUUUCCCUUCCCGAGAGGGACGGGUAACCUGCUGAACCCCGUUCGUGGUAGGGAUCGGGGCUUGCAAUUAUUCCCCGUGAACGAGGAAUUCCUAGUAAACGCAAGUCAUCAGCUUGCAUUGAUUACGUCCCUGCCCUUUGUACACACCGCCCGUCGCACCUACCGAUUGAAUGGUCCGGUGAAAUCUCGGGACGGCGGCUUGGUCGCUUGCGUCCGACUGCUGAAACUUGAUUAAACCAUAUCAUUUAGAGGAAGGUGAAGUCGUAACA